rnacentral:rRNA from 1 species
UACAGAAGGGGCAAGCGUUGUUCGGAAUCAUUGGGCGUAAAGGGCGCGUAGGUGGUUCUGUAUGUCUACCGUGAAAGCAUACAGCUCAACUGUAUUUUGUCGGUAGAAACUGCAGGACUUGAGGCUGGGAGGGGCUGGUGGAAUUCCCUGUGUAGCGGUGAAAUGCGUAGAGAUGGGGGAGAACACUCGUGGCGAAGGCGGCCAGCUAGACCAGUUCUGACACUGAGGCGCGACAGCGUGGGGAGCAAACAGG